UCCCUUGGGAACAUUUGGCAGUAUCUAGAAACAAAGAGUUGUAACUAGUGAAGCCUGUGUUACUACUGCUAAAUACCCCAUAACCUAUAGUCUCAGCCAUGAUGAGGCUGAACAAGCUUGUCAGAGAUAAUCUAAGUCAGUGGUUCUCAACCUACCCCUUUCGGAGUGUAAUGAUUCCUUUAUAGGGAUCACAUAUCAGAUAUUUACAUUACAAUUCAUAACAAGUAGCAACAAAAAUGAUUUUAUAGUUGGGAUCACCAUAGCAUGAGGAACUAUAUUAAAGGGUCACAGCAUUAAGAAGGUUGAGAACCGGGGCUGGGGAUUUAGCUCAUUGGUAGAGCGCUUACCUAGGAAGCGCAAGGCCCUGAGUUCGGUCCCCAGCUCCGAAAAAAAGAACCAAAAAAAAAAAAGAAGGUUGAGAACCACUGGCCCAAGCAGCCUCUCUGGGCUAGGCUGUAGAGGGUACUAAACCUUCCUCUUAGUGUGUCCUUUUAGAGUUUUUUUUUUGCUUUUGGGACCCAGUCAGUAUGCAAAGAAAAACCCAGGCACACAAAGAAUCAAAGACCUGAAUCAUACCUCUUGCAGAAGCCCAAACCACCAACCAGUAACAAUUUACCCCGACAUGUGAGUAUAUCACCUUGGAAUCAGACCUCCCAACUCUCAGUUAAGUCACGUCCCCUUAUACAUGCAGCAGAGAUUAGCCACCUCCUCAGAGGCUGGGCAAUGCAGAUUCGUAAGACAAAUGAAUGGGCUUUCUCUACAAAGUUUGUAAAUGGUCUGUUCCACAAACAAUGGAAAACUGCCAUCUAUCACCUAUCCAGCUAGUUAUCCACCUAUCUAUCCUUUCUCAUUAAUUACAGUGAGAAUUAAAAUUACCUGUUUAAAUGGUGUUGCAAUGUUGAUAAAACAUUCAAGUACUACAUAAUAUUUCCUACAUUGACUGUGUCCUAAAGAGAACAGGUUAGGAGCAGCAAUCAACCCUUCCUGGAUACUUGUGAGUCACAGGUAUCAGUGGUUACCUACAGAGUCAACUGCGACUCUGUCCUGGAGAGCACCUGCAGUUCUUAAGUCGAUAAAAAUCACACUCUAAAAAUACUGGCAUUUUAAAUCACACAGCAAGACCAUCAAAGAGAGUAAUUAUCUGAAAGACCCCAGCGUAGCAGCAGUAACGCCAUUUUGCAAGGCUGUACUUAAGAUGACUGGUUCAGGGAAAGGUUAGAACACUGAGUACACAGCGGCUGCCAAGCAGGAUGUGUUUGGUUGAAGGCCUGGCAACAGGACGACUUCGGUUGAGCACCUGACAAUGAAAAAAAAGCCCCGAGAGAGGUCCCACACCCUGGUGGGGGGCCGAGUCAGUCGUUAUGUUCCAAGAAGGUAGCUAAGAAACUUGCCCCCGGGCUGAACCCUUGGGGGGCCGAGUCAGCCGUUAUGUUUCAGGAAGGUAGCUAGGAAACUUGCCCCCGGGCUAAACCCUUGCCAUAUUAGAAUCCACCAAUUAUAUCCCUGUAACCAUGCAUCUGCUUCUGUAUGCUUGCUUCUGCUCCCCAAAAUCCUAUAAAAGCCCAUCCUUGGUUCCGUGGGGUGCGCCAGUCCCCCGAGUGACUGAAGCGCCCGCAGGUGCCUGUGCCUGUGUAUCCCGACAAUAAACCAAAUCCUCUUGCUGAUUGCAUCCUGUGGUGUCUCGGUCUGGUCUUUGGAGUUGGAGGGUCUCCAUCCCGAGGGAAAGUUCUCCCUGAGAGCUUUUCAUUUGGUGCGUUGGCCGGGAAAGGAGAUCCUCCACCCAGGGACCACCGACCACCCACUGGGAGGUAAGCCGGCCGGCGUCUGUCUGUCUGUCUGAUUUUGUCUCGUUCUGCCUUAUUCUGUCUGUUCUGUGAGCACUCAGCCAGGUCUGUUCUGUGAGCGCUCAGCCAGGUUGUUUGGAAUUUGGGCGGGACGAAGAAGGAGCUGACGAGCUCGGACUUCUCGCCCCGCAGCCCUGGAAGACGUUCCAAGGGUGUUGGGGCCCGACUUUUCGGGGCCCAAUCUGGGAGAGGAGAAAGAUCCGGACUAACGGCACCUCUGUCUGUAUUUUUGGCUUUCAGAGGGCCCCGGACCUUUGCCACCUCCAUCUGACUUUUUGCUUUCAGUUUGGUACCAAAGCCGUGCAGCACGCCUGUCUGUUGUUUGUUUGACUGUUGGUGUUGUUUGUUUUCUCUGUGUUCUAAUCUUCCUUAGAACUAACAUGGGACAGUCCCUAACAACGCCCCUAAGUCUCACUCUUGAUCAUUAGAAAGACGUCCACGACCGGGCACACAACCAGUCCGUCGAGGUUAAAAAAAAAAAAGGAAAAGGGCAGACUCUCUACACAUCCGAGUGGCCCACUUUCGGAGCGGGAUGGCCAGUGAAUGGCACAUUUAAUAAGAUCAUUAUUUUACAGGUUAAAGAUCGGGUCGUCCAUGGACAUCCUGACCAGGUUUCUUAUAUUAUCACUUGAGAGAGUCUCGCCUUAACCCCCCCCCCCGGGCGGAACCCUUCGUGGACCCAAAUUGGCCUCCCCUCAACCCCCAGUCUGUCCCCUCUGCCCCGCCCGGUCCGCCGGCCACGUCUUCCUCUCUCUACCUUUGUGAAAUCAGAGCCUUCUAAGAAACCUGUCCUCCCGGCAGACCCAAACUCCCCUCUCAUAGAUCUUCUCUCUGACAGGCCCGGCUAAAACAGAGGAGGCAGAGCCGCCGGCCAGAUCAGUUGCCGGGCCACAGUCUGAUAAGGGUUUCUCCCCUGUCGCAGGGAGAUUGCGCAAUAAGCGCGAGGUGAUGCCAGAUUCAACCUCCCAGGCUUUCCCACUUAGACAGGGAACCGGUGGCCAGACCCAAUACUGGCCGUUUUCAGCAGCUGACAUUUACAAUUGGAAACAACACAACCCUUCUUUCUCCAAAGAUCCGGUGGCACUCACCGACCUAAUAGAAUCUGUUUUACUUACCCACCAGCCUACUUGGGAUGACUGCCAACAGCUCUUACAGUCCCUCUUAACCUCAAAAAAACAAAAAAACAAAAAAACAAAGAGUGUUCCUAGAGGCCAGAAAGCAUGUUCUGGGAGAUGAUGGGCGUCCCACCCAGCUGCCUGAGGACCAAACUGGGAUUUUAAUACAGCUGAAGGUAAGGGACACCUACGCCUUUAUCGCCAGUUGCUUCUAGCGGGUCUCCGAGGGGCUAUACGACGCCCUACUAAUUUGGCUCAGGUAAAACAGGUAUUACAGGAAGCAGGGGAAAACUCCCUCCACCUUUCUAGAGAGACUUAAGGAGGCCUACCGUAUGUACACUCCCUAUGACCCAGAUGACCCAGGACAAAUGACGAGUGUCUCUAUGUCCUUCAUCUGGCAGGCUGCUCCAGAUAUCAGGACUAAGUUACAGAGGUUAGAAAAUUUGCAGGGCUAUACAUUACAGGAUUUACUUAAAGAAGCUAAAAAGAUUUUUAAUAAGAGAGAGAUAAAAAAAGAAACAAAGAAUUGAGUCGAAUCUUGGCCGCCGUAGUUCAGGGCCAAAAAAGGAAGGGAGAUAGGGGGGAGCUCGAAAGGGGCUGAAGCUGGAUAAAGAUCAAUGUGGCUAUUACAAAGAGAAAGGGCACUGGGCCAGAGAGUGCCCCAAGAAGCCUGGCGGACCCCGAAAGCCUCGACCACGAACCUCCCUCUUGGCUCUAGAUAAAGAUUAGGGAGGUCAGGGCCAGGAGCCCCCCCCCCCUGAGCCCAGGGUAACGCUUAAGUUGGGGGGCAGCCGGUUACUUUCCUGGUAGACACAGGAGCCCAGCAUUCAGUCCUCACUCAAGCUUCAGGACAACUCAGCGACCGGACGGCCUGGGUACAAAGAGCUACUGGUGAGAAACAAUACCGAUGGACUACGGACCGCCGGGUUCAGCUGGCUACUGGUAAGGUGACCCAUUCCUUCUUACAUGUUCCGGACUGCCCGUACCCUCUGCUGGGCCGUGACCUGCUCACCAAACUAAAUUCAUUUUGAGGAAGGAGGGGCCCAAAUAACUGGCCCCCACGGAACUCCCCUUCAAGUUCUAACCCUACAACUAGAGGAUGAAUAUAGACUAUAUGAACCGGGACAGGACAAGCCACAAUCCCUAGAAAUAGACACUUGGGUCACGAAUUUUCCACUGGCUUGGGCAGAGACUGGUGGGAUGGGGUUGGCGCUCCAACAGCCCCCCUUAAUUAUACAGUUAAAGGCCACUACAACUCCAGUCUCCAUAAAACAAUACCCCCUGUCACAUGAAGCUUAUCAAGGUAUAAGGCCUCACAUUACGAGGCUUCUAGAUCAAGGCAUCCUAAUCCCCUGCCGGUCGCCUUAGAAUACGCCUCUUCUGCCUGUAAGAAACCUGGCACUGGAGAUUAUAGGCCAGUACAAGACUUGAGAAAGGUCAACAAGAGGAUAGAAGAUAUUCAUCUGACUGUUCCAAACCCUUACAAUUUGCUCCUGACUUUAGGGUUCAACAUCCCACCCU